CGGAAAGAACAGAACUGGGAGCG
rnacentral:piRNA from 1 species